rnacentral:lncRNA from 1 species
GCUGGAGCAUUAAGCAAGGAGUUAUCAGCUUGCUGGAAACUCAAUCCCAGCAGGAGGACCUUUUUACAGAUGAUACCCACCCACCAUUCCCGGCUGCUGCGGGGGGCUCUUAACAUUUUCACAGCGUCAGCGUCCCUCCCCGCACCCACCCCCGUGUCACGGCUGCGAGACGGAUGCAGACUUUUUCAGAAACGUGGCAUAGGAAGGCAGCAAUCAGCAUUGGAUUUUCUCCCUCUGAAUCUCCUUGCACCAGAGCUUGCGGUGCAUUGAAGCUCCAGCAAGGCAGGGGAAGUCUAUUGGAGAAGACAAGAGGCUCUGGUGUUAACGGGAGAAAGCUGAUCUGCGCUGAGGCUGGCGCAUCGAUCCAGAACAGCUGUCAAUCGAUCGUCAUCUUUCCCCGGCCCUUUUAUUCUGCCAGAGAGAGCCUGCCGCGCAUCACUCAGCCUCCUCGUUCGGCGGGAGGGUAAUUAGGAGCUGCGCGCAGCAUAUCCGUCAGUGUCAGGGGGUGUCGAUGGGAAGGCUCUCGACUUCGUUAACCCCCUGGUGGCUCCCCGAGUGUGUCGAAUCGGAACCUCUGAAGCCGUCUUGUUUCGUUUCGAG